UACGUAGGGACCGAGCGUUGUCCGGAAUCAUUGGGCGUAAAGAGCGUGUAGGCGGCCACUUAAGUCCUGCGUGAAAUCUUGCGGCUCAACCGCAAGCGGUCGUGGGAAACUGGGUGGCUAGAGUGCGGGAGAGGAGAGUGGAAUUCCAGGUGUAGCGGUGAAAUGCGUAGAUAUCUGGAGGAACACCGGUGGCGAAGGCGGCAUCCUGGACCAACACUGACGCUGAGGAGCGAAAGCCAGGGGAGCAAACGGG
rnacentral:rRNA from 1 species